GUAGGUGAACCUGCGGAAGGAUCAUUAUCACGUAUCCACGUAUAAACCAUUGUGAACCGUUCUAUUAACCUUUGUUCUUAGAUAAGAUAGUGUGAAUCAGACGUUUAAACAGCAAUAGUAAUUGAGCUGUUGUUUGGUUUGCCACAGUCGGUGUUUCUCUCCGGAGUUCCCGAUCGUACUUGCUGAGAAUCAAAGUGUAUUCAAUUACUACUUAUUAACCAUUAUAACCCAAUCUUUAUAACUUUAUGAA
rnacentral:misc_RNA from 1 species